ACAGACAGACAGACAUGGACAGAGACAGAGAGACUGAGAGAGAGAGAGAGACAGAGACACACAAGGGAGUUAAAACCAGAAUCUACAGAUGAGCAAACCAUGCAAUUUCCUUUCUGAGGGCUUGUUUCAGGUAGCAUAAUGAUUUCCAGUUGUAUCCAUUUUCCUCAAAAUACCAUUACGUCGCAUUCCUUCAGGACUGCCUGGAGCUUCCUUGUGUGUACGCAGCACGCCAUCUUUCCACUCAUUUCUUACAUACCGUGAACACUGUAGCAACGACCCUGGAUGUGCAUAUCUGUGCAGCAUUAGAGUCUUUGGGUGUAAACCCAGGAGUUUAGUUUUAUUUUUAAGGUUCAGUCCUAUGGUAGAUCUAUUGUAAAAAAAGCACUAUAUUUCUUAAAAGAAUUAGAUUUAAAAUGGAAGAGACAGAAUCAAAUAAAUAAAAGAAAACCAGAAUUUUUAAAAAGCCAGGAUAAUAAUUGUGUCAUAUAAACUAUGACCAAACAUGCAAGAUAUCACAGAUAAAGACAGGAUGAAGAGUAAAAUAAUCACAUCUCAAGGAAGCACAUUGUGCUUAUAACAUACCUAAUGGGAUAGACACAAAACACAUCAGGCAGUCACGACAACGUCAACAUAUAAAUUUAAAUCUAGACUAAAUAUGAGAGAAAACAUGGGGUAUUUAUGUUUCUUAAUUUGUCUUAACAUAAUGAUCUCCAGUUUCGUCCUUUUUUUUUUUCACUGCAACUGAAUAAAACUCCAGCACAUUAUGAAGCACAUUUUCUUCACUUACUAAGACGCUGGUGGACUCCGACUGAUCCCAUAGCUUGACUAUUACAAAACUACAGCAGAAGCCAUUAAUGUGCAUGCAUCUUUCUGCAAUUGCCGAUGCUAUGACAUAUCAUUGUGUGUACAUCUGGGAUCCGGGAUAGCUGGAUCAUACGGUAAUUCUGUUUUUUAUUAGUGUUCGUUUUAACCAAAUCGCUUACAUCACACACACACACACACACACACACACACACGCACACGCGGAGGUUAUAUGUAUCUGAGAAAGAUCAUUCUUAGAACGCGUUUUCGUGCUUCUCCCGAGUGUGGCAUAUAGGAGGGAGUUUACUUCAGCUGUUGUUAUUCAUAUGCCUCUGUGAACAAACUUGGUUUUGCCCCUUGCGGCUCGUCUUUGUGAUAUACACUUUACCCAUGUGACUCUUCUUAACCCUCAGAGUAUAAAUUGUCCGAUGCUCUGAAUAAAGCUGACUAUUGUGUGAGACUUUGGUCCUAAUUUUUAGGCCCCACUCUCCCAGGUUCAUGUUGCCAACCAGAGUGGUAAACAUCGAAGCGCUUGCAUAGCUGUGAAGACCACGGGUUCUGUAUAUGGUACUGUAAACUAAGUAAAUGAAUAAUCAGUAGAUAAGGUAUACGCAAACGAGUGAGUAAACAAGGUAUACGCAAAGUAUAAGGUGUCAGGGUAAACAAAUCAGGGGAAGUGGAUUCUGGCCGAGAGCUCAGGGGACUCAGAAAUCUGAUGGUCAGUGGCAAACAUUGCGCAUGCCUGAUGAAGAUUGCGCAUGCCUGAUGAAGGCCCGCUUGAAGGCAGCAGGGAGCCAUGAGGAAUGGAAGACGCUAAGAAAGCAAUGACAGAGACAACUAGAGGUCAGAUUGCAUAGAACACUAGUUCUGAGCCCUAUCAGAUCCCUCUUUAUGUCAUGUAAAUAGCUUAAUAGGAGUAUAACGCGUGCAUCCUGACAUGUUAGAAAACGCCCUGUGUUGGGGGAGAAGAUUUACUGUUUAUUUGUGGUGUUACAAUUGCUCUUCCCUCAAGAGUCACCCCAUCAAACAAGACCCUAUGCUUGUGAAUUGCCCAAUUUUAGAUGCUCUAUUGAUACAGCCUGAUUCAGCUCUUUAGCUCCCAGACCAGUGAUGCUUUAAUAGUCUAUCUGUCUGUUCCAUCCAAGUCCCACAAGCAUCCUGAUCGAUAAUUUGCCGUAUGGAGACAUUCUGGUUAUUUGAAGUAACUCUCAUUACAGCAGUCUCUCCAGGCUUGGCUCUGGUGGUUAGGCGCCGGUGCCUGGCCGCACCACUUCAGGAUUACGCUACGCACUGUAAUCGAGGUAAUCUCCACAGCACGAGCAGCUCUGUCUUCCACCGCCAGAGAGACUUUCAAGGAUGCUGGCACUGUCUGACUCAGAGUAUCUCAUAUGCCUCGUCCACAGAUGCCUUCUUCGGUUUCCUGAAAGAUGUUGUGGGGGAUGGGGAUACGCGUUGCAAACGAUAAAUGAGCUCCACCUUCCUCCACGUCUGUGCCAAGAAUGCUCAAUCGUCAAUUUUAUGAAAUCCUGAGCCCAAAAUCCAAUCCACCAAGGAAGGUGUCAGAUCCACUGCGGCUAUACUAGCACCCACAUGUUAAAUCUAGACUUGCUUUUACAUGCAUCUAUAUGAGUGCAUUUGGGCUAGUCUAAUUUUGACUUAUUUCCUCCCUGGUGUAGCAGCCUUCACACUCAUUGUCAAAACGUUCCUCGGGCUCUCAUCUCUAUAUAUAUUAUAAAAACAUGGAAAGUCUUUCAAAAUAUAAGCCAUAUGCUCCUGGGUUAAACCUGGCUAUUCAUCUUCUUGGAGCAUGUUGAGACCUGUCUCUAGUUAUCAAUCUGGAGUCAUCCAUGGAGGACAGAAGGGACCUUGAAAAGGACAGGCAUCUUCCCCAAGGAGAGCUGAUCCCCCCUUCCCCAAUCCCUCACCUUCCCAUUCCCAUCAAUCAGGAGGCCUCAGAUCCUCCAGUGAGCCAAGUUUAGGAAAGUAGAUUUGGAACUGAUUGGAUGCAAUUAUAUGCAUUUAACACACAAACAGAGUCUUGAUUACAAUAAGGGACAUGAUGAACUAGGCUUCUAUGGUCACAUGUAGAGUCUGCGUGGAAGUGACAGCUACUGAUGUAUACAGACAAGAUCAGGUGUGUUCAGGGUGGGUUGUAGCGGUCCCCGAUAAAUCUACACGAUUCGACCCCACCCCAAUGUUCUGGGUUCCCAUGACCGAUCUACCUCCCUCCGAUAUUCCCAAGUUCCCAAAUUAUUGCUUACUAAAACCUAUAUUCCCUCUUGGCUGGACCCAGACGUGCAGCUCUCUUUGGCUGCGUUUCAUCCCCCUCCCCCCACCGGCUCCUACAUGGAGGCCAUGCUCUCUGUCCUGCACCUCUCAGGCGUGGCAUCUUACUCUCCUUCUCUCAUCAUGAUGGAUCUCCUCUUCCUCCCUUCUCCUUCCCUAGCCCCGAAUCCUGAAAGUCCCGCCUGUCUGCCCCGCCCAUCCGGAGGCCCAUUGGCUGUCUUUAUUUACCAAUCAGAAUCAACAGUGGACAGAGUCCUUCAGUCUGCCCUGACACUGCAAACAGGUUUGGGGGGAACAUAAUUAGCACAAGAAUCUAAGCAGCUACAAUGAAUGGCUACUGUUCUGACAAGAUUAGGUGUGUUUAGGGUGGAUGACCACAGAAUAUAAAUAUAUCCAGAGGUGGUGUUGUCCUGGGGAUACAAAUGACAAGAGUGGUCAUGCCGAGAAUAAAGUAAUUUGCUAAAGUGGUGAGCGACUUUUGAUAAUAUUCAAGACAAAAUAAUGUAUUAUUUCUCUUACAGAGCAGUGGCGUGCAGUCCUGACACUCUAUUGCAUACUAAAUACUCAAGCAGGGUUUUUAGGGUUCAUUCCAAGGUUGCUUGGGCAGAAUAUGGUGGUUGUUCCUUGCCUUGGAGUGAGCAGAAAACAGAAACAACAUUCAGGAAAGAAAGAGGGCAAGUCGAGCCUCCGAGGACAAGACCCACGGAGAGAUAGAUGCUUUCCUCCAACCAGGCCCCAUCUCCUGCAAUCUGAUAAUGAAUCGAGGAUUGAUCUGCCUAUUAGGCUUGUGUUAAGAUAAAGUCAACGCGGAGGAGAACAGAUCCAACUAGGCAUUCAGGCCAACAGAAGUACAGACCCAGACAGAGAUGACGGCUACAUAAUCCUGAGCAAGGACUGACGCCACAGAACCAUUCGCUUUGAAACGGCUACUUUGUCACAUGAACUCCACCUCAACAAGAAGUAAAGGAACUAGUGUAAAAUCAAGGCAGCCAGGACUGGAGAGAUGGCCCAGUGGUUAGGCACACCGGCUGCUCUUGCAAAGGAUUCUGG
rnacentral:sRNA from 1 species